ensembl:ncRNA lncRNA:CR45524 long non-coding RNA:CR45524
AUAAUACUUUAGUGUGAUGAUUUUCAUUUACAAUAGCCACUAAGCAUCCCAUCCUGCGCAUUGAAACGUUGUGGGAAUCUGAUGGGCUGGGAUCAUUCAUCACGCCAUGCAGCGGAUGUAGCAGGAUAUGCCGCAGGAUAUGACGCUGCAUAAAGUGUCCAGUGAUCGGCGAUCGUUACACAAACCGCAUCCUGCGCAGUUACUUUUUAUGGGACAAAACCCCAUUGUGUGGAUGCUACCAAAUGUCCUGGAAAUCGUAACGAAUCCACGCAUUCCGACCAAGGUAUCCCCGCAGCUGUCCGGCGGGAUCGUGUGAUCCUAUCGCCCUGCCAUCGCCGGCACCACAAAGUUCGCGCCCAUGUCGCGGCCGCUGUAAUCCUUUGACUGUGCCACAAAGCCAAAACAAACAUCGCGCCAUCGCGCCAUCCGUCGUCCGUCCGGUGAACCGAGUGACCUCUUCAUUACCUCACGGCGACAAUCUUGGCGGGUCACCGUGGCAAAUGCAAAUAAAAGGGGCGGUUCAGCGGGUCGGAAAAUUAUGCAACGCGACAGAAGGAUGGCAGGAUUAGCGCACAGUCCUGAUUCCUCAUACCCGAUAGCCGGUAUAGCCUGAUUGCCAAUCCCAACCCGAUUCCCAUAAGCCAAACGUCCAAACUGACCCCUGUGCUCUUGUUUUUAUUGCUUCGUGUUGGACAAUUGAUUAUGUGACGUAAAUUUGGUGUAAACAGCUUUGGUCAGCUUGGCUACCUAAACGGAUGCAGAAUCUGGAAUGCAAUAGAGUUGUCAGUGGAUAUAAAUCAGUGCCACGUCGCCGUGAUAUAUAGCCCAUACAUAAUAGAUAAUACAUAAUGCAUAAUGCAUAAUGCUAAUCCAUAAUAAUUACAAUCAUGUUUACAAAGC